GGGGAUUUAGCUCAGCGGUAGAGUGCUUGCCUAGCAAGCACAAGGCCCUGGGUUCGGUUCCCAGCUCUG
rfam:Rattus norvegicus chromosome 1, whole genome shotgun sequence.